UUGACCAUGGUUUGUCUUUCUAAUUCCUCCUUCGUGUUUUAAGUUUACUGUUAGAACCUGUAUAUCAGGAAGCCUUUUUGAACAUUGUAAAGCUCUUUUAUAUUAUCAGGAUUUUGAUAAAUUCCAAAAAUGUGUUUACAUUGGUCCUGCAUUUACUAUUGAACUGAAUAAUUGUAUCUGUAGAACAUAAUAUAUGGUACUAACAAGUCAAUGUGCAUUUUUGCAUUAUCAAUAUUUACAUUUUUGUUUAUUGUUAACUAUAAGCAACACUUGAUAUAUGAUUUGGAAGAACAACAAUAAAUUGUCCUAUACAUCAUAGAAAGAAAAAAAAACUAUCGCGGGGCAUCACAUGUUUCUUUGAACUAUUUCAAAUCAUCUCUGUAUACUAGGUCUAAUGUUAGAUGCACUAAAUUCAAACUUGCCGCGGGGGCACCAUCUGUGUCACGUUUAUUAUCCUUUUUUCAAGUCAAACUGGUUUUUUAAAAUUAAAAUUGACAUUUACAUUACCCGUCUGAAUCAAUAUAUCUUUCCACAAAAGAAUAGACAUAAAUCAAAUCACAAUUGUUUGUUUACUUUAAAUGAAAUAUGAAGCAUUCGAACUUUUAAUAUAACUUCCUGGACCUGAUUAAAUGAGAAUAUAAUCUGGGAACAUAUUCUGUUUACAAUCUAUACUUUCUUUUCAAUACAGUAAUUUAAAAUUCCCGUAUAACAUUGAAAUUUCCAUGAAUGUAUAUUUAUAUAUGACGUCAGUAAGAUUGUUCUAAAUUUUGGAUUUCGUCCAUAGAUUAUCUUUGUAUGUCAGGGUUAUUGAAAUUUGACCGAUUGACAAAGUUUUAAAUUUAGAAUAUAAAUCGGCCAGUAUUAAUAGCAGGAUACGAUAUUAUUAAGUUUCAACAAGGAUCAUAUAUUUAAAAGAAGCCAAGUGCAAGUAAUACAUCAUGGGCUUAACAAAAAUUCUACAAAGGACAAUUCAAGGUCAGACACAUCGUCAAUUGUCCUACUUUAUGCCAGUGUACGAAUCCUUUAGCAGAAAAACGGAAAAGAAACCUAUACAGUCAGUCUUUAACACUGCGGAAUUCACAUAUUUCCAUGUUUCCACUGGCAAUACGAGGUACAAGCCUGUAAAUAACAAAACACAACACAAUAAAUGGGCCACAGUAAAUAACAAAGACUAUGACCGGCGACAGAACAUGCCAACUGGACGGACCAGAAGUUAAAUUUCAGAGAGAAAUUGGAAGGUCAUCUCUGAUAUCCGUUUUAUUAGGGCAUAGAGAGUUACAUUUUCAUACAGAUAGAGACAAUAUCAUGAAAACAUGUUUUGUGUUUAUAAUUUACAUAACAAGAACAAAAUGCAUUUCUCGUAAUGCUGUCAAACUCGUAAAUACUCUCAGUCUUUCAAUUGUAUACAUAUAAAACUAUAUUUGUAUAUAUAUAUAUUUAAUUUAUUUGUUAGUGCGAAAUAGUGCCUUUAGAGUCUUUAUGACAAUGUAUGAUGAGUUGUCAUAUUAAAGUGAUACCAUGUUGUCUGUAAUAGAAUAUGUUAGUGUAUUAAUGUUAAAAUAUAUUUUAUUUAUAGCUGUAUAGCAAGAUAAAUCUGUGUUGGUGAGUUUUCCAUAUGUUCUGUCUUAUAUUAUUGAAAUUUCCUAUUGUGGUUAAAUUAAACGUAUUUAUUCUGUACUUGAUAUAUUAGUUUUCUUAUGCACCUCACAAGUAAGGAUUUUUGAUCGUUGAAUUUAAAAGUAAGGUUUCAAUUAUUGUUUAUUUAAACUGUUACUAUGUAAUUCCCUUUUAUGAGAAAAAAAAAACAAACUAUCAAGUGUACAAAAAUAAACAAGUAAUAGAUUUAUAUUAGUAUAUAACUGUAAGUAAUAGCUUAUCAACAUCCGAUCUGUAUAUACUCAUCCAUUCAUACUGUACAUGAACCAUUUUUGUAUUUUUCACUUGCAAAUAAAUUAUUCGACUAUGCUUGGUUAGAGCACAUUUUC